UCCAAUGAUUGUAAGAGUGUUCAUUUGUACAGAAAGCGAGCUUGCUGUUUAAAAAUUCUUGCAUUAUUUGCGGUCAUUGUUUGUACUUAUCUGUGUUCAAAAUCAGAGGUUAGGAUUUAUAUGUACAGGAACGAGAAAAUGGUCUCACGUCCCGCUUCAUAAAUGUGUGUCGAGAGCUAGCCGCUGAGCCUGGCCCAAAUUUAUAACUUGCGCUACUGUGUGUCUGUCAGGGAGCCAUCUGCGAAGCUGGGUGCUCCACCUCCACUGCCUCAAUGGCUUCUGCUACCAGUGCAGCUGCCACAAGCUCACACUCGCGCUGCCUCGCCAAGUUUAAGCUAGCGCUCAGCUGGACAAUCCACUUGGCCUUAGGGCCGUUCAUGAUCCGGUUCCCCGGUUUAGCAGCAAAAACCAGGCCAAACCGCGAGGAGCCAAGAGUUAAACGGUUUCGGUGCUGCGGGUUUCGACGGUUUUGAGAUGGUAAACUGACAUCUCUGCCUUCUCCGUGUAGAUUUGAUUUGUUGCCAUUAUAAACAGGAUGUUUGGUGUCAACCAUGUCAUGAUGUGAAGCGAAUCCUAACUAAAUAGUUGUUGCGAUCUGCACCACACUACACUAGCGUGCUGUGAGCUUGUGCUGUCACUGAAUUUCAGAAUACCAGAUGGAGCAGCCACCAGUCUCACAAGGAAAAGCACAGGACAGACAACAACUAGCAAUCCCAUUUCCAGCUCGGCUGACUUGUUUCUUGUAAUCCACCUUUUCUGAAUUGAUAAAACAAAUGAAGGGAUGAGUUGUUACGAUACCGGCUCCUAUCCACCAUGACGAGGUUUGGCUCUUGCCUUAAAUUUCGUCUCAAAAUAGGCACCCUAAUAAAUCAGCACGUGGUACAACAAUGUGUAAAACAACUAGAUUUUUGAAACAGAGGGAGCACUUUGCAGUGGAUCCAAUUUUUCAAUGAUUGUAGGACUGUUCAUUUGUAUGGAAAGUGAGCUGGUGUUUAAAAGUUCUUGAAUUAUUCGUGGUCACUAUUUAUGUUUCUUUCUAUUCAAAAACAGGAAAAUGGUCCCUCAUCGUCCCGUCUCAUUAAUGUGUGUCGGAGCUAGCAGCUGAGCCUGGACCGGAUUCAUAAUUUGUGCUGCUGUAUGCUGUAUGUCUGUGAGGGAGCCAUGUGCAAAGCUCUGGGUGCUCCAGCUGGAAGGAGUGCGUCCACCGUCCCGUCCACAUAAUAGCAGCUCCUGGAUCGUUAUUACCAGACCUGCAAAUGAUGGACUAUUGUGACCAUAGUAGAAUGUAUAACAUGCACUUUCUGAAGAAUUUAGCAUAUAGAGCUCCAUGCUCCAGUCCUUUAUUUAUCCUUGUUGAAGCUGAAGUCCUUGAAUUCUGAGCAGAAGACAAGCCCCAGACUGAAAGCUGAAGAAUUUGUAGCAUUUGGAGCUCCGUGCUCCAGCUUUCUAUCCUUUUUUUUUUCUUUUGAACUAUGAUGUGUUUGAGUUCGUUUCUGCUCCAGCACCAGGGAAGCGGAGCUACCACUUUCAUUUCAUGAUGUGUUUCUUUACAUAACCGCAGAUGAUACUUGCCAUAGAAUCGAACAGUCCAGCAUACUCAUGUGUUUCGUUGUUUAAGCUGCUGCUUGAAAUGCACGGGAAUUGCUGAACUUUAUUCCAUGUUAUGUGGGUACCCGACACUGAAUGGUGUGCAGGGCGAUCCUUGUGCAGAGGUCUCCUUGUUAAGGCCUGUCUGUUCAAAACUACAUCUUGCAGCAACAUUUCUCCUGUUAGUAUUGUCAAACCAAGCAGAGGGUAAGUGUUCAUAGAAAAUUACUUUAGCACUGCACCUCAUAAGCCAUCCUCUGCUCUGUACGGCCACGAGACAUGAGAAGCAGGCAAGCAGCAAAGCAAGGGAUGGAAGGAGCAGAACAGAGACACGAACUCCUCUGCCUCUGAACCCAGAUCCUCUGCAUCUCCUUGCUGGCUGCUGUUGGGGAUCGCCACCCAAGAGGAGGCCUCGCCGAAGGUUACGUCGAAGCUUUCGGGCAUUACAAAAGUCAGUGAUGGUCGAAGGUUUGCACCUAGCCGAAUGAGCGAAGGUUGCACCGUGACCUUCGUGCUAGGAUGAACCACUCGCCUAGGCUCGUAAUCAGCACGUCGGAGAUUAAGACCGACCUCCGGAUGAUGAAGGAAUCGGUUGCACAAUCUUCGACGACGCCAAGACCCAGGGCGGAGGAGCGAAGGUUACUCGGACCCUUCACCGUCACAUGUGUAGCAUGAUCAUCUUGUAGUGAAUAAUUUAUACACGCAAACGUCCGAAGAUGACCUAGUAACCGGAAUAUCCGAAUAUCCAACAGAUACAGAUAUUUCGGGUAGGUAGAGGCAUUACCGGAACUGUGUAACGAAGGUAGGGGUAUAAAUACCCCCGCCUUUUACUGUAACCGAGAUGAUUUUUGAAGAUUUUUGAGAGUGCAUAUAAGGUUAUUCCGUU